UGGGGAAUCUUCCGCAAUGGACGAAAGUCUGACGGAGCAACGCCGCGUGAGUGAAGAAGGUUUUCGGAUCGUAAAACUCUGUCUUUUGGGGCGAACGUGAGUAUGGUGAACAAUCAUAGUCAGUGACGGUACCAAAGGAGGAAGCCACGGCUAACUACGUGCCAGCAGCCGCGGUAAUACGUAGGUGGCAAGCGUUGUCCGGAAUUAUUGGGCGUAAAGAGCGCGUAGGCGGGAUAGUCAGUCUGUUGUAAAGUGCGGGCUCAACCCCGUGAUGGCAAUGGAAACAGCUAUUCUUGAGUGCAGGAGAGGAAAGGUGGAAUUCCCAGUGUAGCGGUGAAAUGCGUAGAUAUUGGGAGGAACACCAGUGGCGAAGGCGACUUUCUGGACUGUGUCUGACGCUGAGGCGCGAAAGCCAGGGGAGCGAACGGGAUUAGAUACCCCGGUAGUCCUGGCCGUAAACGAUGGGUACUAGGUGUGGGAGGUAUCGACCCCUUCCGUGCCGGAGUUAACGCAAUAAGUACCCCGCCUGGGGAGUACGGUCGCAAGACUGAAACUUAAAUGAAUUGACGGGGGUCAUAGCUGUUUCCUG
rnacentral:rRNA from 1 species